rnacentral:lncRNA from 1 species
CAGGGGGUGCUGGGGCUGGCCCUGCCCUAGAGCUUGCACAGCUUCAGCCCCCAAGAUGUGGGAGCAACUCAGUCUUGCAGGGCACGGUACAUCCACAGAGGUCUCAGAACAGGUACCUGAGAAUCCCACUCAAGCCUCAUGAUCUACUUCUGCUACUCCAAUCAUCAAUUACUACUGAGCUUUUGCUAUCUGAGUUGCCCAUCCACGCUGCUGUAUUGUCUUUGUUAAAAGAUGCUGUUAACCAACAACUGGGACCUCUACAACAGUGCACAAGGAGGAUUGGUAUGCCUUUACGGAAAAUAUAUUUGUUUCUCUUUCUUUCAUAUGUUAGCAUGAAAGAUGGGUAAAAGGGUAAAAGUCCAUAAUGCCCUGUCUUAUCUUUUCUGGGCAACAGAUGCUUCAAAGUAGUCUAAGAAAUGCUAAUGAAACAACUGUUUUUAUGUUUUGUUUCCUGUUUUGUUGGUUUUUGGGGUUUUUUUUUUUUUUUUCCUUUUUUAUCUUUUCUUAGCAAAAUAUCUCAGGAACUGGCCAUUCUGGAAGACUAAUCACACUGUUAAAAAAAAACCCAA